AAUCAACGCUGGCGGCGUGCCUCAGACAUGCAAGUCGAACGAUUAAAAGCUCCCUUCGGGGGAGUGUAUAGAGUGGCGCACGGGUGAGUAACACGUAAGUAAUCUACCCUCGAGUGGGGAAUAACGUCCGGAAACGGACGCUAAUACCGCAUAAUGCAGCGGCACCGCAAGGUGACAGUUGUUAAAGAUUUAUCGCUUGAGGAGGAGCUUGCGGCAGAUUAGCUAGNGGUAAGGUAAUGGCUUACCAAGGCUACGAUCUGUAACCGGUCUAAGAGGACGGUCGGUCACACUGACACUGAAUAACGGGUCAGACUCCUACGGGAGGCAGCAGUCGGGAAUUUUGGGCAAUGGGCGAAAGCCUGACCCAGCAACGCCGCGUGAAGGAUGAAGUAUUUCGUAUGUAACUACGAAGAAUGGGAAGAAUCAAUGACGUACCAUUUAUAAGGUCCGGCUAACUACGUG
rnacentral:rRNA from 1 species